CCAAACCUUACGUCCCCGUGAACCGGCGCGGAGGGUCAGCGGCCAUCACUGGCUGCCGACUCGCCGCCGCCAACCUUAACAUAAAUCAAAAACUAGGUGCCACAGCAGGCUCUGGCUAGCCUCACGGCCGGCCGGCUAGCUGUUGGUGCCGCCCAAUACCAAACAAAACUGAAACUGAACCCAAACUGUCGCUGGACCCCUUAACCGGGAUCUAUCGGCUGUAUAAUCCAUUACAACUUUCGGCAAUGGAUGUCUUGGAUCCCACAACGAUGAAGAACGCAGCGAAAUGCGAUACGUAAUGCGAAUUGCAGGACCUCGUGAAUCAUCAAAAUUUUGAACGCACAUUGCGCUUUUGGGUAAUUCCCAAGAGCAUGCUUAUCUGAGUGUCCCUAAACCCCACUCAGCCACUGCUGCGCUUAACGGCGCGGCGGUGAGCUGGACUGUGGCGGUGCGCGGUUCUGCCGCGCUCCGUUGAAAUUCAUAUGUUUGUUGUUGUGCCCGGGUAGCUUCGGCUGCGGGCCUGAUGCGAACGCGACAAAGGAUUCGGUAGAUGCACUGACGUGUGUUCCUAUCUUGAGUUGCGAGAGCAGAAGGCUAACUUGGUGCAGCGGUGAAAUGGUGGCCUCUUGUGCUAACGCGCUGGACGGUCGCCGCCGUGAAAUUAUUCAUUAUGGAUCUCAGAUUAAGUAAGACUACCC
rnacentral:rRNA from 1 species